rnacentral:rRNA from 1 species
AGUGAACGCUGGCGGUAGGCCUAACACAUGCAAGUCGAACGGCAGCACAGUAAGAGCUUGCUCUUACGGGUGGCGAGUGGCGGACGGGUGAGGAAUACAUCGGAAUCUACUUUUUCGUGGGGGUUAACGUAGGGAAACUUACGCUAAUACCGCAUACGAUCUACGGGUGAAAGCAGGGGAUCUUCGGACCUUGCGCGAUUGAAUGAGCCGAUGUCGGAUUAGCUAGUUGGCGGGGUAAAGGCCCACCAAGGCGACGAUCCGUAGCUGGUCUGAGAGGAUGAUCAGCGACACUGGAACUGAGACACGGUCCAGACUCCUACGGGAGGCAGCAGUGGGGAAUAUUGGACAAUGGGCGCAAGCCUGAUCCAGCCAUACCACGUGGGUGAAGAAGGCGUUCGGGUUGUAAAGCCCUUUUGUUGGGAAAGAAAAGCAGCAGGUUAAUACCCCGCUGUUCUGACGGUACCCAAAGAAUAAGCACCGGCUAACUUCGUG